AAGAGAAAUGAACACACAAGUUUCAAAUAACUUAUAGAAGUGAAGAAGGAACAUUCACACAGAUCACGUUCUAGUGAUGACACCCUGGAUGACGUCUGGAGGAUACCAGGUGCCAAAUACAGUGAUGGGAGAAAGUGGAGAUUGUCCUUUUGAAGUACAGACAUUUUGCUGGCACUGGACUCCACAGCAGCAACUGCUCUGAGCUAUUGCAAAAUCAUGAAAUGAUGAUCUGAAAACGUUCCUGUUAUUUAAAAUAUUUCUCAAGUGCCAAGCAUCUCAGAGGAUUUGGGGCAGGGGCUGUGCAGAAAGAAGCAAAAGGACUUGUCCAACCUUCCCAGAAGAUCAGGUUGGAACAGGACACCCUUCUCCUACAUCUCAGAUGCUUCUUGCUGUCCACCAAGGAGAUGAAAUAAACAUAUUGUGCCACUUGAGUCACUUGCAAAUGAGGCCUUCACGCAAUUCUGCAAUCAUGUUGUUGAUUGAGAGGAUUUACCCUCUGUCCUUAUACUUGGGCACAGGGAGAGGAAACAAGUUCAAAACAAAACUAAAAAAGGUGUGUGAGAGCAAUGCUGUUCAUGGGGAGGAUGUCUGAAGCGCUUGCAUUCAGCUCUAUCCUUCCCAUGGAAGUCAAUGGCUAAAAGCUGUCCAAUGAUCACGUUUUCUGAAGUAUCUUGCUCAUUUCCACCAGGAAAUUUUGUCCCAGUGUAAUCUGAUAGUUUAUAAAAUUUAUCAGAGAUUUCUGGACAAAUGGCAAUCUGUUUAAAAGGCUGUGGUCCAUCUGACUCAGCUGCUUUAUAACUGUAAAUAGCUACUUCUGCAACAUGCAGACCAACUAUCUUAUGGGUAAGCAUGAAAGCAGCCCCUUCACUGAGCUCUAGACUUGAUGUUACACCAUGCCAAAGUGUGCUGUAUAGUGUUGUCAAUCCACUUCCCUUCAGAAGUGACUUCAUGUGCAGCAGAAGACCCACGACAUUAAUUCCUUGAGAACUUUAGUGCAUCUGAAAUACCAAGCUCAGACACAUAUCCCUGUCCAGCAGGUCUCAGAGUCCUGGGCAGAUACAAAGCAGAUUUACAGCUCUGUAGGCUUGCAGUGAGAAUAGUUAGGCUGCUUCAAAGCUCUCUGGAGAACUUUACUUAAAUAUAACUUUUCUAAUAUUUCUGAAAAUCCUGCAAACCAUUAUAGUAGUGGAAGAAAAGCUAACUAAAAUAUCUAGUGAUGAAAACUUUUUCUACUGUUGCUGUUUCAAAAAGCAUGAGAAAAUUAAUUUAGGUACAAAAAAAAACUACUGCUAUCAUAAAUGUAAAUGUUUACUCUGUAGUAUGUGCUUUUAACUGCUCUAAACACUUCAGAUCUGCCCUUUUACAACAGUUCAUAUAUUAUUGUUUCUAUCUCUUCCGUAUUUCUACAAUAAGUAACCUAACCUUUUCUUAUCAAUGUAUUGUAAUGAUUUACUUAGUUCUAGUUAAUAAGAUACUUUUGUUUAUAUUUGUAUUUCAGGAUUUUUUACUAAUUUAGUUGCUAUUUAACAGUAACAGUUAUAAGUGGAUCCAAGUACAUUAAUGCGGUUUUAUCAUAGAACCAUAGAAUCAUUUGGGUUGGAAAAGACCUUUAAGAUCAUCAAGUCCAACUGUUAACCUAGCACUGCCAAGUCCAACCACUAAACCAUGGCCUUGAUAUUGAUGUCAGUGUAGCACUGAUUCAAAAGUUAUCAGAAGUAAGCUAAAUGGAGGCUUUAUGGAGCAGACUACUCAGUGGAGUGGCAUUCUGACAUCAGCAAUGAAUUUCCUUCCAGAUCUGCUGAAGCAAAACUGCUACAAUGGGAACCUCCAAGGUUUUUAGAUGGAAAUUCAGACAUUUUCACAAAAAUGAUAAUGGGUAAAUCCCAUCUGCCUAAUCGUUCAGUUGGUAUUCCUGUACAUGUACAUCAUCUGGUUAUCGAGUUUGCGUGUAGUCUAUAUUUCAUUUUCAGUGUGUUAUGCCAAAUCACAGGUGGAAGAAGGCAAAAUGCAACAAAUAUAUUUAAACAAAUAUAUUUAAACAAAUCUCACAUUUUCCUGUGACCUGACUUCUGACAUUCAAAUAUUUGACUUUGACAACUCUGCCUUGCCUUUCCAUUGGCAUUUCCCACUUUUAUCUUCUUGGACAAGGUAUUAGGAUGCUGAAUCAGAAGAGACAGCUGUCAACACUGUAAGCAGCAAGGGGCAGAAGUGUAAGUUCCCAUUUGCCACAAAGUGGAGAUCUGUAGUACUGAGCUACUCAGACUGAGUUGUUUUCCCAUGGGGUGCUCUGGCUAAGUGUCUGUAGUACGCUACCACUCUUUCAUGUAAUGGCUGCAAAAAAGCUCGUGGGCAAAAGUCAAGUGGUAAAAGAAAA